ACCACAGGACGAAGAUCAUGAGCUUGGUUUCCAGGGAGGUCGAGUUUUGUUUACUAUACAAUUCUUCACAUCAAGCUACGAGGCUGUAUCUGAUAGGGACAAUGAAUUCCAGCACUGGGUUUGUUUGGUGGUUAUAAAUGUUUUAGCAGUAAAAAAAAUGUUUUGAGUGAAUUAUUCAAGCUCAUUGGAAAAUUAAUAAUUAGUAUAGUGUGAAGUUUCACUGCAGUAGCACAUUGCUGAAGUGACUGAAGCCACUGAGUUCCACUUUGAGCACCUCUGAAUAUGCAAGGCCUGUGGAGAAGGAACAAUCUAAGCAUCCACAUUUUGGCUUAGAAGAUUAAGAAGCUGUUAAGGAGUAGUUUCCUGUUGUCCAAUGCCGCAAGGCUCGAUUCCCUCAGCCUCCAUUGGCUGUUUAACUCUAAGCAAGUUACUUAACCAGACACUGCUUCCAGGCUGAGUAUGAGAAACAUCCAUGGAGAUCAUCACUCUACCCCAGAAA